GGGGCCGGGACCCCCGGCGCGACGGGACGCGGGAUCCCCGUCCCCAGGACGCUGGCCGGGCCGGCGGGACCCAGGCCGCCGUCCCCCACGGACAAUCCUUCCCUUCUCCCUCCCUCCCGCCGCGGGAGCCCCUCGGCACCCCCCGUUAGCUGGCCUAACCCGGGGGGCCAGGCCCCCCCUGCCCCGCGGCUCGGCUGGCCGGACUGUCGGAUGCGUGCUGCUCUCCGCCUCCCCAUCCUCCUCCUCCUCCUCCUCCUCCCGGUAGUGCCGCAGCCCCUGCCCCAGCCAGACCCCCGCGGCCAGAGGCAGCGCGGCGGUGGGGGGAGGUUGCACGGGGGUGCGCACGCGUGUGUGUGCGUGUGUCAUGCGUGUGUCAUGCGUGUUUACGUGUGCUGCGGGUCUGCCUGCCUGCGCUCGCCCCAUGUGCGUGCAUGUGUGUUUGUGUGCGUGCCCGUGUCCGGGGGGGGGCCUCAACCUGCUGCUCCCCUGUGCCCCUCCACACGUGUGUGUCUGUAUGUACGUCUGCCCCAACCGCGCUUCCCGCCCGCCGUGGCACGCGUGUGCAUGCAUAUGCAAGUGCACACCGCGUGCGCUGAGCCACAGCACGGGGCGGGGGUGCCGUGUCCCCCCCUGUCUGUGUCCUGGCUGGGGUGACCCUGUAGCUGGGGGUGUCUGUGUGUGUACCUGGGGCAGUGGCGGGGUCCCCUCCCCGCACCACCCACCGGUGCCCCCCAGUCCCCGGCUGCUCCCCAGCACAACCAGUGGCACAGGGCAGGGGGUGCAGCCCCCCAGCAUCGCCCCAGCUCACGUGCCACUCCACGCACAGAGAAGGGGACGCCGCGGUAGGGAGGGGGCACAGGCAGGGCCGGGGUUGGGGGGCUCCUGCCCACCCACCACCCAUCCACCUCCCCAGCUGCUCGCCCCGUAGCGUGUGCCGUGUUCGUGCCGUUGUCCCGUAGCCGGGCGCCGCGUGUGCCCGCCCCGCCGUUUCACACUGCCCUGCAUGUUGCCUUCCGCGGUAGGUGCCCCCCCAAUAAACCGGACGGACACCCCGGC
rnacentral:lncRNA from 1 species